rnacentral:lncRNA from 1 species
GGGAGGUGGUGUGUUUCGCGCAGCCAGCCAUUGUUGCUUGUUUUAAUGCUUCAUCCAAUUUAGCCUAAGUAGUGGGAGGGGGAGGGGGAGGUGUAUUGUUAAGCCAUUUGAAGGAAUUCAAUCUCUACUAUCGUAUUACUUUCUCCAAUGUUAAUGUUGUAGUGCGCCUGUAAGUGUUCCAUAUCCCUGGGUGUCAGUCAAUGUAAUUCUGUAAAUGUUAUUGAUGGGAAAAUUAUCUUGUGUUAUGGUAAUUAUCAUGUCAUUUAUCCUUCGCCUCGCCAACUCCACUCGCAUAUAACCUGUUUUACAGGAAUCACGUAAAUUGUUUCAUUUUCAAUUUCGAUCUGGUUGAGCAUGGAUUGUGCAAUUGUUUGCUAUCAUUUCCGCUGGCAUCCUGCAAAUGGGUUUAUCAGAAGAUAUUGCCAUCC